GACGAACGCUGGCGGCGUGCCUAAUACAUGCAAGUAGAACGCUGAAGCGAGGAGCUUGCUCUUCUUGCAUGAGUUGCGAACGGGUGAGUAACGCGUAGGUAACCUGCCUUUUAGCGGGGGAUAACUAUUGGAAACGAUAGCUAAUACCGCAUAACAAUGUAUGACACAUGUCUUUUAUUUGAAAGGGGCAUUUGCUCCACUACAAGAUGGACUUCCGUUGUAUUAGCUAGUAGGUGAGGUAAUGGCUCACCUAGGCGACGAUACAUAGCCGACCUGAGAGGGGGAUCGGCCACACUGGGAAUGGGACACGGCCCAGACUCCUACGGGAGGCAGCAGGAAGGAAUCUUCGGGAAUGGGGGCAAACCUGACCGAGCAACGCCGCGUGAGUGAAGAAGGUUGUCGGAUCGUAAAGCUCUGUUGUAAGUCAAGAAAGGGUGUGAGAGUGGAAAGUGCACACUGUGACGGUAGCUUACCAGAAAGGGACGGCUAACUACGUG
rnacentral:rRNA from 1 species